rnacentral:rRNA from 1 species
UUCGCAAUGCCCGAAAGGGUGACGAUGCGACGCCGCGUGAGCGAAGAAGGCCCUAGGGUUGUAAAGCUCUGUCGAGGUUUAUGAAAUAUAGAUGGGUUAAUACCCCAUUUAUUUGACAAAAGCCCAAAAGGAAGCCACGGCUAACUCUGUGCCAGCAGCCGCGGUAAUACAGAGGCGGCAAGCGUUGUUCGGAAUUAUUGGGCGUAAAGAGCACGUAGGUGGUUUUGUAAGUCAGGUGUGAAAGCCUUCUGUUCAAAGGAAGAACGGCAUCUGAAACUGCAGAUCUUGAGUGUAGGCGGGGAGAGUGGAACUUCUGGUGGAGCGGUGAAAUGCGUAGAUAUCAGAAGGAACGUCGGCGGCGAAAGCGACUCUCUAGCCUAUUACUGACACUGAGGUGCGAAAGUUAGGGGAGCAAACGGGAUUAGAUACCCCGGUAGUCCUAACCGUAAACGAUGGGCACUAAGUAGAGGGGUUUU